rnacentral:rRNA from 1 species
GCGCAAGCCUGAUGCAGCCAUGCCGCGUGUGUGAAGAAGGCCUUAGGGUUGUAAAGCACUUUCAGUCAGGAGGAAAGGUUAGUAGUUAAUACCUGCUAGUUGUGACGUUACUGACAGAAGAAGCACCGGCUAACUCCGUGCCAGCAGCCGCGGUAAUACGGAGGGUGCGAGCGUUAAUCGGAAUUACUGGGCGUAAAGCGUACGCAGGCGGUUUGUUAAGCGAGAUGUGAAAGCCCCGGGCUUAACCUGGGAACUGCAUUUCGAACUGGCAAACUAGAGUGUGAUAGAGGGUGGUAGAAUUUCAGGUGUAGCGGUGAAAUGCGUAGAGAUCUGAAGGAAUACCGAUGGCGAAGGCAGCCACCUGGGUCAACACUGACGCUCAUGUACGAAAGCGUGGGGAGCAAACAGGAUUAGAUACCCUGGUAGUCCACGCCGUAAACGAUGUCUACUAGGAGCUGGGGUCUUCGGACAACUUUUCCAAAGCUAACGCAUUAAGUAGACCGCCUGG